AUUGAACGCUGGCGGCAUGCCUUACACAUGCAAGUCGAACGGCAGCACGGGUGCUUGCACCUGGUGGCGAGUGGCGAACGGGUGAGUAAUAUAUCGGAACGUACCUUAUUGUGGGGGAUAACGCAGCGAAAGCUGUGCUAAUACCGCAUAAUCCCUAAGGGGGAAAGCGGGGGACCAUAAGGCCUCGCGCAAUUAGAGCGGCCGAUACCUGAUUAGCUAGUUGGUGAGGUAAAGGCCCACCAAGGCAACGAUCAGUAGCUGGUCUGAGAGGACGAUCAGCCACACUGGGACUGAGACACGGCCCAGACUCCUACGGGAGGCAGCAGUGGGGAAUUUUGGACAAUGGGGGCAACCCUGAUCCAGCAAUGCCGCGUGAGUGAAGAAGGCCUUCGGGUUGUAAAGCUCUUUUGUCAGGGAAGAAACAGCAGCUCUAACACAGUUUGCGAAUGACGGUACCUGAAGAAUAAGCACCGGCUACUACGUGCCAGCCGCCGCGGUAAUAC
rnacentral:rRNA from 1 species